rnacentral:lncRNA from 1 species
UAGUCUUUAUGUGAUAAUGAUCACAUGUAUAACAAAUUUUUUUGUCCUAAUAUCUAUAUUGAACAUAAGGCAUAACAUGUGUCACACUUGUAUAGUUUAAUAUUUAUUGUGAAAUUGAAAGUAUCAAUCACAUUAAGACUUUCUCGUUGAAAAUCUAAUAAUCAUAUUAUUUCUUGAGAAUGAAGAUGUGUGGGACAAAGAACAAUGAAAAUAAAAAUAUAUGGAAUCAACCAACAAAAUAAUAAGUCAAA